GGUGUGUGUGUGAGAAACAGUACUGUAAGGGUACGUUCAGACUUAGUGUCUUUUUCUGACAAAAGAAGUUAUGCAGACCACUUUUUCAGUUUGAAAAAAAAUCUGCCAGCAUUCUUGUUCCAAAAAGCA